UACAGGUCUAUAGUUAGCAGGAUCAAGUUUAUCUCCUGACUUGUACAAAGGCGUGAUUGUUGCUUGCAACCACUCGUAGGGCAAAGUGCCUUGUAAGAAUGAUUUUGUCAUCAUUUUGGCAAGUGGGCCCGACAACGAAGCAGCACAAGUUCUCAGGAGUUUGGGAGGUAUCUGAUCCGGACCUGGAGCUGUAUUUAAUUUAAUGGCACAGAGUUGGCUUUUUACCAGAUCCGGAGUAAAAUUAAUAUAAGACAACCCACUAAAUGUAGCAGCAAAACUGUCCGCUAAAGUGUUUGCAGUUUCUGUAUGAUCGGAGCAGAGUAGACCUGAAGCAUUUCGUACUAAAGGGACCGACACACGACUAGAGAUAAAUUUACGUACAUGGGAAUAAAAUAGUUUUGGUUUAUUUAAUAUAGAAUUUUCAUAAUUACACCUGGCUAUUUGUAAAUCAGAUUUUAGUUGGUUAGAAAAUCUUUUAUAAGCAGAAAAAUUAUCUUCAGUAGGCUUCCUUUUAAAUUUUUUCCAUAAUUUAGCUUUGUAUUUUAUUUUGUCAAGCAUGUGUUGAUUUAUCCACGGUUUAUCUUUUCUCAGUCGGUUUGUAAACAGUCUGGAAUUUGUUGUAAUGCAAGUUUGUAAAAUCGAUUUAAAAUGUUUCCAUUGUUCUUCCGCAUUUAGUGAAUCUAAACCAUUCCAGUCGUAAGUCAAGAGACUUUCGUCUAUGCGAGUGUAGUCAACAAUUGAUGUUGUUUUAAUUCUUGCAUUUGGCUCUGAAUAUAUCAUAAUUUGUAACUCAAUUUCGAUUUUUGAAUGAUCAGAUGUACCUACAGGAUUCGAAACGUUUAAAGACGAUACAAGGUUAACGUCAGACAAAAUUACCAAAUCAAGUAAUGAAGGACGUUGUUGGGAUCUAAAUCGUGUAGGUUCAGUGACUAUUUGUGACAAAUUAUUCUCCAAGAGCAAUUCAGAAAAUUGUUUUUCGAUGAUUGUUUGACCUGUUGUGUUUUUAGCAGACCAGUCUAUACAUGGAAAAUUGAAAUCUCCCAUGAUAAUUAAGUUAGGAUACUGAUUAAUAGUUGAUUGUAUGGUAUUAAAUAGAUUUUUAUCAUUUUCGUGAUUGUUAAAAGACGCUCCUGUUGGUGGUCUGUAAAUACAUGCUAUAACAAAGG